rnacentral:sRNA from 1 species
CCCAUGUCGAAUUUUAUCUCUCUCUCUCUCUUUAUUAUUUUUCUGUGCAAAAAAACGCUGUAACGUGACCUUACAUGAUAUCACGUGCACCGCAUCGAAUCCAUGAAGAGAUUGAACGGCCGGCUCUGCGGUACAGCUCUGAUAUUAAUAUCAUCACUAGAUAUCAUCGCUAUAUAUCAUCGCUAUAUAUCAUUGCUAGCUAUCAUCAAUAUAUACCAUUGGUAGAUAUCAUUCAUUCAAGUAGGUGAGCAGAUAAAUAGACAGAUAGACAGUCAGAUAGUCAUCUAAUAAAUCAGUAUUAUCAGAUAGAUGAGCAGCUAGAUGAGCAGCUAGAUGAUGAUGUUUAUUCUCAUAGAGAUUGAUUCAAUAUUGAGCAGUCAUGUUGAUUGAAAGAUAGAGAGG